AUUGAACGCUGGCGGCAGGCCUAACACAUGCAAGUCGAGCGAGCGGCGGACGGGUGAGUAAUGUAUGGGGACUGCCCGAUAGAGGGGGAUAACUACUGGAAACGGUGGCUAAUACCGCAUACUAUCGGAUAACCCAUAUGGGAUUAGCUAGUAGGUGGGGUAAAGGCUCACCUAGGCGACGAUCUCUAGCUGGUCUGAGAGGGUGAUCCGCCACACUGGGACUGGGACACGGCCCAGACUCCAACGGAGGCAGCAGUGGGGAAUUUUGGACAAUGGGGGAAACCCUGAUCCAGCCAUGCCGCGUGUAUGAAGAAGGCCUUCGGGUUGUAAAGUACUUUUGUUAGGGAAGCGGUACCUAAAGAAUAAGCACCGGCUAACUACGUGCCAGCAGCCGCGGUAAUAC
rnacentral:rRNA from 1 species